UCCCUGAUCAGUGCCCUAACUGAAAAAAGGAAAAAUGAAAGUGUUGUCAAGGAGAAAAUGUCUCUCACAUUUGCUUACAGACGACAGGAGGUAGUGAACCAGGAGCUCAGUGUCAGGAAUUUCAGGGCGAGGUGGCCUGCGCUUUUCAGACAUUACGAGAUCAAUGCAGAGUUACAUAGGCUUAUGGAUGUUCCACUGGAAGACAUGUUCUUUGCACAGUUGGAUGUAUACAUGAGUCAACUAAUCAGAGUAAUCCGUUCCAAAGGAGGAGCAACCCCUGAGAAGACUGCUGCAAUUUUUCACAUAUUGCAUCAGACUGAAAACAUUCACAUGAAAAGAGAGUGUGUCCUGAAGGCCCUCAUCGUUUUCCUGGGGGGAAAUCCUUAAGGAGUAUCUUGAGAACCAGCAGAUGAUUGUGAGGGUGAGCUGGAGCAGCUCACCAUGGCGGUGUAUGUUAUUCGGAAGGAGGAGGGAGAACAUCACGAACCACAGGCUGACAUAGGUGUCGUCAUCAAGGGUGUUAAAGUUCUUAAUGAACUGUCUUCGUCCACAUCAGCUUGUGCCUUGCUUCUCGGAAU